rnacentral:lncRNA from 1 species
GUGUACAGUGUGCGUAAGAUUACAGGGAUGAAAUCAACGGCUUUUUAUAGCCAGAUUUUUAGAAUAAAAAAUAAAAAUAAAAAUUACAUUUAUUUGAUGUAUUCUGUUAGUAGUUCUUCUGGUGUAUUCCUGUGCAGACUCGGCCAUACGGAGGAGACGUGCAAAGGAGGCCGUGCGAGGAGCCACUCAUGGGAGCCCCAACUCUC